GACGAACGCUGGCGGCGUGCUUAACACAUGCAAGUCGAACGCUGAAGACCUGGCUUUUGUUGGGUUGGAUGAGUGGCGAACGGGUGAGUAACACGCGAGUAACCUGCCCUCUUCUUUGGGAUAACGCCCGGAAACGGGUGCUAAUACUGGAUAUUCACUGGCCUUCGCAUGGGGGUUGGUGGAAAGGUUUGUUCUGGUGGGGGAUGGGCUCGCGGCCUAUCAGCUUGUUGGUGGGGUGAUGGCCUACCAAGGCUUUGACGGGUAGCCGGCCUGAGAGGGUGACCGGUCACAUUGGGACUGAGAUACGGCCCAGACUCCUACGGGAGGCAGCAGUGGGGAAUAUUGCACAAUGGGCGAAAGCCUGAUGCAGCGACGCCGCGUGAGGGAUGGAGGCCUUCGGGUUGUAAACCUCUUUCGCUCAUGGUCAAGCCGCAACUGUGGGUUGUGGUGAGGGUAGUGGGUAAAGAAGCGCCGGCUAACUACGUG
rnacentral:rRNA from 1 species